rfam:Triticum urartu cultivar G1812 contig1451776, whole genome shotgun sequence.
GAUGUACUCCCUCCGUUCGGAAAUAUUUGUCAUCAAAAUGGAUAUAUCUAGAACUAAAAUACAUAUAGAUACAUCCAUUUUAAUGACAAGUAUUUCCGGACGAAGGGAGUAUAUG